rnacentral:rRNA from 1 species
AUUGAACGCUGGCGGAAUGCUUUACACAUGCAAGUCGAACGGCAGCAUAGGUGCUUGCACCUGAUGGCGAGUGGCGAACGGGUGAGUAAUACAUCGGAACGUGCCCAGUCGUGGGGGAUAACGUAGCGAAAGUUACGCUAAUACCGCAUACGAUCUAAGGAUGAAAGCGGGGGACCGUAAGGCCUCGCGCGAUUGGAGCGGCCGAUGUCAGAUUAGGUAGUUGGUGAGGUAAAGGCUCACCAAGCCGACG